GAUGGCCAGUGCUUGCUCAGUCUUGAAGAGUCAGGAAAUGUCCCAGGACCCUAAAGGCAGCAUAGGCCUUAACCAAGAGGGGAGAGCGUUUCCUGCCAAGGACUUGAACGUGCUGAGCCCUGGCUCCAUUUUAAGGAAAUGAAAGUAGUUCACUGCUAUUGGAACUGACUAUGAGGGAGGAAGUAGCAAACGACAAAGGCUGGAAAUAAACAGAAGUUAAUUUUUGGCAGAGAUUCAUAAUUUGGACUUUUAUGUUAAGGUCACCAAGUUGCCAUGAAAAAGUGCUAAGUAGCGAAUGACAACAGAUUUGUCCAUUAUGAAGAUGACUCUGGCUCAGUAUCCAGGCGUGAAGGAAGGAGAUGAGCUCUGGACACCGAGAGCUAUAAGAUGUUGGGAAGGAGAGCCAUGGAAACAGUGAGGCAAGACUUGGUGCAGGCCUGAGUGAGGCGGUGGCAUCUGGGAUAGCAAGAAAUGGACAGAUGCAAGAGGUCUUAGGAGGACCUGUGGGUAUUUGGGCUCAGCGGCAUACGCAUCAAAAGUGUAAGAAAGAAGAAAAAUGAUGUGGAAAUAGUAUCCAGACAGCCAUCAGCCUUCAUUUGACCACACUGCAAUUAUCCUUAGAAAACAUCCACAUUUCACUUAAGGUGCAAUUAGAGGGACUGUUUGUUGUGACAGUCAAAUCCCCAGAGGGCACACCAUGUGGAUCAGGUUGGGAGGUUAGAGACUAUUCUAGCCUGAAUGAGGUUGCGCCAUCUCAGGUAGUGAGAGUGAGGAGCGAGAGAAUGGAGGAGAGGAAGAGAGAGAGCAAUAUGACACCAGAUCAGAGAGCUGACACUGUUUAGUGUGACAGAUUGCUCCAUCCCACUGAUGACAGGUGGGUCUGCUGAGAAGGUGUAUAAUUUCAACACGAAGGAAUAAAAAGGAAAAAUUCAACCACUGCCUCCUGUCUCCUGGUGGCCAAAGC
rnacentral:lncRNA from 1 species